GAUGAAGAACGUAGUGAAAUGCGAUACUUGGUGUGAAUUGCAGAAUCCCGAGAACCAUCGAGUCUUUGAACGCAAGUUGCGCCCGAAGCCACUAGGCCGAGGGCACGCCUGCCUGGGCGUCACACGCCGUUGCCCCCCCAUCUACUCCUUCGGGAUUGCGGGGGGGCGGAUGAUGGCCUCCCGUGCGCCUAGCCGCGCGGUUGGCAUAAAUACCAAGUCCUCGGCGACGCACGCCACGACAAUCGGUGGUUGCGAAACCUCGGUUGCCCGUCGUGUGCGUUCGUCGCGCAUCGAGGGCUCGAAAAAAUGCUCGGCUCCGGCUGGGCUUUCAACGCGACCCCAGGUCAGGCGGGGUUACCCGCUGAAUUUAAGCAUAUCAAUAAGCGGAGGA
rnacentral:misc_RNA from 1 species